rnacentral:rRNA from 1 species
CUCUGUGACUCCUACGGGAGGCAGCAGUGGGGAAUAUUGCACAAUGGGCGCAAGCCUGAUGCAGCCAUGCCGCGUGUAUGAAGAAGGCUUCGGGUUGUAAAGACUUUCAGCAGUGAGGAAGGCGGAGUCGUUAAUAGCGGCCUCGUUUGACGUUAGCUGCAGAAGAAGCACCGGCUAACUCCGUGCCAGCAGCCGCGGUAAUACGGAGGGUGCGAGCGUUAAUCGGAAUUACUGGGCGUAAAGCGCAUGCAGGUGGUUUGUUAAGUCAGAUGUGAAAGCCCGGGGCUCAACCUCGGAAUUGCAUUUGAAACUGGCAGACUAGAGUACUGUAGAGGGGGUAGAAUUUCAGGUGUAGCGGUGAAAUGCGUAGAGAUCUGAAGGAAUACCGGUGGCGAAGGCGGCCCCCUGGACAGAUACUGACACUCAGAUGCGAAAGCGUGGGGAGCAAACAGGAUUAGAUACCCUGGUAG